UACGUAGGGGGGCUAGCGUUGUCCGGAAUCAUUGGGCGUAAAGAGCGUGUAGGCGGCCCGGUAAGUCCGCUGUGAAAGUCGGGGGCUCAACCCUCGGAUGCCGGUGGAUACUGUCGGGCUCGAGUACGGAAGAGGCGAGUGGAAUUCCUGGUGUAGCGGUGAAAUGCGCAGAUAUCAGGAAGAACACCAAUGGCGAAGGCAGCUCUCUGGGACGGUACUGACGCUGAGACGCGAAAGCGUGGGGAGCGAACAGG
rnacentral:rRNA from 1 species